UACAGAGGUGCCGAGCGUUAGGCGGAAUCACUGGGCUUAAAGCGUGUGUAGGCGGACCGUUAAGUGUCUUGUGAAAUCCCCCGGCUCAACCGGGGAAUUGCUGGGCAUACUGGCGGUCUUGAGCAGUCUAGGGGCAGAUGGAACAAGUGGUGGAGCGGUGAAAUGCGUAGAUAUCAUUUGGAACGCCAACGGAGAAAUCAGGUAGCUGGGGGUGUGCUGACGCUGAGACACGAAAGCCAGGGGAGCGAACGGG
rnacentral:rRNA from 1 species